rnacentral:rRNA from 1 species
AGAGUUUGAUCCUGGCUCAGAACGAACGUUAGCGGCGCGCUUAACACAUGCAAGUCGCACGGAGGAAAGGGCUUCGGCCCCGGUAAAGUGGCGCACGGGUGGAGUAACACGUGGGUAACCUUCCCAGGAAGCGGGGGAUAACAUUCCGAAAGGAGUGCUAAUACCGCAUAAGGACCACGGACCUCGGAAAGAGGAUGGGGUUAAAGCAGGCCUCUAUAUAUAAGCUUGCACUUCUGGAUGGGCCCGCGGCCCAUCAGCUAGUUGGUAGGGUAAUGGCCUACCAAGGCUAAGGACGGGUAGCUGGUCUGAGAGGAUGAUCAGCCACACUGGGAACUGAGACACGGUCCAGACUCCUACGGGGAGGCAGCAGUGGGGAAUCUUGCGCAAUGGGCGGAGGCCUGACGCAGCAACGCCGCGUGGAGGAUGAAGUCCUUCGG